ACGGGAGUAGACUAACAGGAUUCCCUAGUAACUGCGAGUGAAGCGGGAAAAGCUCAAAUUUAAAAUCUGGCGGUUUUGGCCGUCCGAGUUGUAGUCUGGAGAAGUGCUUUCUGUGCUGGACCGUGUACAAGUCUCUUGGAACAGAGCGUCAUAGAGGGUGAGAAUCCCGUCUUUGACACGGACUACCAGUGCUUUGUGAUGCGCUCUCAAAGAGUCGAGUUGUUUGGGAAUGCAGCUCAAAAUGGGUGGUGAAUUCCAUCUAAAGCUAAAUAUUGGCGAGAGACCGAUAGCGAACAAGUACCGUGAGGGAAAGAUGAAAAGCACUUUGGAAAGAGAGUUAAACAGUACGUGAAAUUGCUAAAAGGGAAACGCUUGAAGUCAGUCGCGUUGUCCGAAACUCAGCCUUGCCUUGGCUUGGUGUAUUUUUCGGUUAACGGGUCAGCAUCGAUUUUGACCGAUGGAUAAAGGUCAGGGGAAUGUGGCACCUUCGGGUGUGUUAUAGCCUCUGAUUGUAUACAUCGGUUGGGAUCGAGGAACUCAGCUUCGGCUUAGGAUGCUGGCAUAAUGGCUUUAAACGACCCGUCUUGAAACACGGACCAAGGAGUCUAACAUGCCCGCGAGUGUUUGGGUGGUAAACUCAGGCGCGUAAUGAAAGUGAAUGUUGAGACCUCUGUCGUGGAGGGCAUCAACGCCCGGACCUGACGUUCUCUGACGGCUCCGCGGUAGAGCGUGUAUGUUGGGACCCGAAAGAUGGUGAACUAUGCCUGAAUAGGGUGAAGCCAGAGGAAACUCUGGUGGAGGCUCGUAGCGAUUCUGACGUGCAAAUCGAUCGUCAAAUUUGGGUAUAGGGGCGAAAGACUAUCGAACCAUCUAGUAGCUGGUUCCUGCCGAUGUCGCCGGGGAGAAACAAGACACAGCCUAAUAGAGAUGGUUCGAAUAAGUCUUUCGCGCCUCAUAACCCCAAUUGAGAAUCGACUUUUCGUCGAAUGACUACUAGCUUCCCCCCAGCUUCUCUGGGCUUCCCUUACUCAGCCUAGUACAUCUUUCGGUCAAAUAAGCUUACGGGACGAGAAAAAAUAGGGCGGGGGUAGGUCUCAAAAGUCACAUCUAUGCGCUGAGUCCACACGCGCGGUUGGAAC
rnacentral:rRNA from 1 species